GUAGCUGAGCCGUAAGAUUACGAGGGGUGGUCGGGCGGGAGGCGUCUCUUUCUCGGGCCGCGAGUGGAAGAGAAAUGCUAGUUUUCUUCUGGGGAGAGAGGCGGUUUGGCCCUGGGGGCGAAUCAGCGCAGGAUUUGGAACUGGACGGGACUGGGGGGACAUCAGGACCUCUCAAACUGUUGUAAAGUCAGAAAGAAAUCAAGCAUUCUUGUCUUGGUCGGUAAUGAUUAUCAAGGAUGCUAGAAAGAGACAGAGCAUGAACGGGGAAGGGGCAGAGAGAGAGGGAGACAC